GAGGAUUAGUUAAUGUAUAACAUAAAUAUGUCAAAUUUAAAUAACUGCUAAGUAUCUUCUUAUACCUCA
rnacentral:tRNA from 1 species